rnacentral:lncRNA from 1 species
GGUCCUCGGCCCCCGGUGGAAUGAUGCCGCUGAGGUCUAGCUCCGGGUACAGAGCUUGGACUGCGUCCUGACCAUCCUCAUACCCCACUCGGUAUGAUGCAAAGCCAGACUCCAGCAGCUCCUCUCGAUAUCGAUCGGAGCCACGGAAGUCGUCCACCCCCGACUCACUAACUCCUUCGCCGACCUCGCCUCUGCUUCCACCCGAUCGAGAGAGUCCUUCGCCGACUCCGCCUCUGCCUUCGCUAUGUCGGCAUCGGUCUGGGCAAUCGACAAAUCCUCCUCAGCCUUGGCGAGAUUCUCCAGGCUG